rnacentral:rRNA from 1 species
CCUACGGGAGGCAGCAGUGGGGAAUAUUGCACAAUGGGGGAAACCCUGAUGCAGCGACGCCGCGUGAGUGAAGAAGUAAUUCGUUAUGUAAAGCUCUAUCAGCAGGGAAGAAAAUGACGGUACCUGAGUAAGACGCCCCGGCUAACUACGUUCCAGCAGCCGCGGUAAUACGUAGGGGGCAAGCGUUAUCCGGAUUUACUGGGUGUAACGGGAGCGUAGACGGCAGUGCAAGUCUGGAGUGAAAGGCGGGGGCUCAACCCCCGGACUGCUCUGGAAACUGUACGGCUGGAGUGCAGGAGAGGUAAGUGGAAUUCCUAGUGUAGCGGUGAAAUGCGUAGAUAUUAGGAGGAACACCAGUGGCGAAGGCGGCUUACUGGACUGUAACUGACGUUGAGGCUCGAAAGCGUGGGGAGCAAACAGGAUUAGAUACCCCAGUAGUC